UAUCAUCAAAAGGCCCAUUCCUACAGGUGAGGUUCUUACCAUAAUUAUUACAGCUAUAAUAAAACAAAUUAUGCUUGUAAAUUCUAUGUGCAGUAAUAACCCACCUUCCACUUGGGAUAAUGAAGAGGAACUCAUUUUUAAUUCUAAACAGUAACAAACCCCUCUUUUUAAUGGAUUUUCAGCAAAUCCUUCCAUUCCACUUUCCCAAGUGUAUCUGGUCCUCCGGAUGAAAUCAGUGCAUAGUUAUUUUUAGAAUCCUGAAAUACACAAGAUAUAAAUUGAAUCUUGCCCGUCUCUCUGUAUGACUGGGAAUCACAAGCUGGAGCAGCAUUUUGGGAUAGUUUUCUUGGUAUUUGCAUUUAAGCCAAACUAAAUUUAUUUCAUACAAGUACAUAAAGAGAAACUGGCUACUCUCACCUUUCCAUCCUUACAUUUUUGCUUGCCAUAUCAAUUUCUGAAGGAUCUGUUUAAUUUUCCAAGGAUCCUGUAACAUUUCCAUUUUCCCAGGUCUUAGCUUAACCUAAGAUGGCUACUUAGCCUAAGUUGACGAAGGCUGCCUCGGUGAAAUGCUCUCUAAUUGUUUCUUUAUUUCUAAUUGUUCUCUGUGACUCACUACGGAUUUCCUACUCACGAGACCAUCUGCUAAAAAUUAAGGAACAUUUCUUUAAGGAGCAGCUUUCUUUAAUCUCACCCCCGCCUGUCUUUACAAACACGGAGGAGAUUCUAACACAGGAGGAGGCAAUUCCCACGGAGCCAUGGAUUACUAAAAAAACCAAACGACGGAAACGAGAUCUUGUUGAAGGCGACGAAGUUCCAAGUUUUCAAGACCCAGGAUAUCAAGUCUGGUGGAAUAAGGUAUUUUAUUGGUUUCGGAGGAGUGGAGAAUUCUUCUCGUAAAAUACCUUUGGCCACGCUCAACUGUGUUGAUGUCAGAUAUAUGGUAUGGGUUCCAGACAGGAGAGCAGUAAUCAAGAAUUGGCCUAACAAAUGUUUUAUAUGCUCUGAGUCAGUUUGGUGUAGCGAUUAAACCACCAAGCUAGGAACCGGAAGAUUGUGCAUCCAGGUCCUGCUAUAGGCACAAAGUCAGAUAGUUGACCUUGAGCCAGUCACUUCUCUCAGCCCUAGGAAGGAGGCAAUGGCAAACUGCUUCUGAAAUCUGUACAAGGAAACUGCAGGAACUUGUCCAAGCAUUGCUAUGAGUGAAGGCUGUCCAAAACCAUGCGUGUACAUUGUACACACCUGCAUGCACAUUAUUUACUAUUUAUUCAAAAUGCACUUUAAAAAGCUUUCGAAGUUUACCUGAACUGCGAAGACAAGAAUGCUGAUGUUAAAAAAUUCUAAAACAAUUGAAUUUACAUCUUUUUUGUUUAAAUGAAGCCAGCAUCACAGAUAGGCCAAACAAUUGGAGUCUGCAUAUAUGAAAACAUUCUGUAUGGAAAGGAACUUUAAAAUCCACAUUAAGGGUGGGGCAGGGUAUAAUUUUCAUGACAUUUUGUGGGCUAAAAAAAUAAAUGAGAUGAAUGAGAAUGAUUGAGCACAAUAUCUGGCACCAUCG